CACCGCGGUUAUACGAGCGACCCAAGUUGAUAGACAACGGCGUAAAGAGUGGUUAAGAUACUAUUAAACUAAAGCCGAACACCUUCAGAACUGUUAUACGUUUUUGAAGAUAAGAAGUUCUAUCACGAAAGUGGCUUUACUAGCCCUGACCCCACGAAAGCUGUGAAA
rnacentral:rRNA from 1 species